CACCGCCGCCAGGGGACGAGCCGUCGCCGGCCGCGGCCUGGCUGAGGGGCCGCGCGCCCCACCGCAGCGGGGCCCCCCGCAGCAGCGAGGCCGCGCGCAGCCAGCACAAAGAACCGCUCAUCGCUGCCUUGCCUAGCGACGGCUUCUUACACCGAGAGACACAGGCACUCCGAUCCACCUCCAGUCCGCUCCUCCUCCCCAUUGGCAGAGGCGACAAAACGUCACGGAUAGCCUCACCCACAGAGAGGCAGAAAUAUCUGUCAAUCCACAUCCGUGACCAAUAGCCUGCAUCAGAGACUUUUUCUGGCCCAUCCACCAGUUCAAGGCGCUUCCUCCCUAUUGGCCGAGCCUGGGAUCAUACGGCAGGCCUUGAGUGGAUAUAAAAAAUUGUCAAUCGACCCGCGCAGCCAAUAAUGCGCCACACAUCCGCAUGUGCCCGCCCACUGAAUUAUUAAUCCAGCCCCUUCUGCAUUGCUAUUGGCUGCACUAGCCGCGUAGGCUGAGGCUAGUCCGGGUCUCGAGACAGGAAGGAGGGGGGUAGCGGCAGCGGCGUGAGGAAUUUUUGGCUGCUUCCGCUUCCGGCGUGGUGAGCUCUGUGGCGCGGGGCCGGCGUUGCGGGGCACCUCGGAGGUUAGUGAUUCAAAUCACCUGCUCUGAAGAAAUCUGAAUGUGGCUUCAAUGGGAAUUUUAAGGACAUCUUAUGCACCCCUAAUGUUGCAGAUGUUUCUGUUGGGGAAGCCAAUCUCUUCUCAUUAUGAAGACCUGUAAUAUAUGAUAAAAAUAAGUAACAUUUAAGUGAAGUUGCAGAGCUUAUACAAUCCCUCUAAUUUGUCUUGUAAUCUGAAUGGAUUGCCUAUUAUAAUGGGCACCUAGUUGCUAAAUUGAUUUGUAGCACACUUCCAGUGAACUACUUAAAACUCUAUAGUUCUUGUACUAUUGACAUUGCUCAUGCUACAUAAUACAACAUUAUUCAGUACCACACAACUGACCCUUGUGUAACUCUUGGCUUCAUGGGAUACAAAACUAGCUAUACAUCUCUGGAUAAAUAAAAAGACUAUUAGUAAACA